rnacentral:rRNA from 1 species
UACGUAGGGUGCAAGCGUUAAUCGGAAUUACUGGGCGUAAAGCGUGCGCAGGCGGUGAUGUAAGACAGAUGUGAAAUCCUCGGGCUCAACCUGGGAACUGCAUUUGUGACUGCAUCGCUGGAGUGCGGGAGAGGGGGAUGGAAUUCCGCGUGUAGCAGUGAAAUGCGUAGAUAUGCGGAGGAACACCGAUGGCGAAGGCAAUCCCCUGGGCCUGCACUGACGCUCAUGCACGAAAGCGUGGGGAGCAAACAGG